AUGAACGCUGGCGGCGUGCCUAAUACAUGCAAGUCGAGCGAACAGAUAAGGAGCUUGCUCCUUUGACGUUAGCGGCGGCCGGGUGAGUAACACGUGGGUAACCUACCUAUAAGACUGGGAUAACUUCGGGAAACCGGAGCUAAUACCGGAUAACAUUUGGAACCGCAUGGUUCUAAAGUGAAAGAUGGUUUUGCUAUCACUUAUAGAUGGACCCGCGCCGUAUUAGCUAGUUGGUAAGGUAACGGCUUACCAAGGCAACGAUACGUAGCCGACCUGAGAGGGUGAUCGGCCACACUGGAACUGAGACACGGUCCAGACUCCUACGGGAGGCAGCAGUAGGGAAUCUUCCGCAAUGGGCGAAAGCCUGACGGAGCAACGCCGCGUGAGUGAUGAAGGGUUUCGGCUCGUAAAACUCUGUUAUUAGGGAAGAACAAACGUGUAAGUAACUGUGCACGUCUUGACGGUACCUAAUCAGAAAGCCACGGCUAACUACGUG
rnacentral:rRNA from 1 species